rnacentral:rRNA from 1 species
CAGCCGCCGCGGGAAUACGAAGGGGGCUAGCGUUGCUCGGAAUCACUGGGCGUAAAGGGUGCGUAGGCGGGUCUUUAAGUCAGGGGUGAAAUCCUGGAGCUCAACUCCAGAACUGCCUUUGAUACUGAAGAUCUUGAGUUCGAGAGAGGUGAGUGGAACUGCGAGUGUAGAGGUGAAAUUCGUAGAUAUUCGCAAGAACACCAGUGGCGAAGGCGGCUCACUGGCCCGAUACUGACGCUGAGGCACGAAAGCGUGGGGAGCAAACAGGAUUAGAGACCCGCGUAGUCCCUGUCUCUUAUAC